GAACGGAGUUGUUAUUCAGAAGUUCUUCGGGAUGGAAGGAUAAGAACCUUUUGGCGGACGGGUGAGUAACGCGUGGGUAACCUGCCCUUUUGUGGGGAACAACUUCGAGAAAUCGGAGCUAAUACCGCAUAAUAAUAGAGGAUCGCAUGAUUCUUUAAGGAAAGAUGGCCUCUGAAGAUGCUAUCGCAAAAGGAUGGACCCGCGUCUGAUUAGCUAGUUGGAAGGGUAACGGCCUACCAAGGCAACGAUCAGUAGCCGGCCUGAGAGGGUGAACGGCCACAUUGGGACUGAGACACGGCCCAAACUCCUACGGGAGGCAGCAGUGGGGAAUCUUCCGCAAUGGGCGAAAGCCUGACGGAGCAAUGCCGCGUGAGUGAAGAAGGCCUUCGGGUUGUAAAACUCUGUCCUUAUCGAAGAGAGGUAGGUAUGUGAAUAAUGUACCUAUAGGACGGUAGAUAAGGAGGAAGCCCCGGCUAACUACGUGCCAGCAGCCGCGGUAAUACGUAGGGGGCGAGCGUUGUCCGGAAUCACUGGGCGUAAAGGGCGCGUAGGCGGUUUAAUAAGUCAGUGGUGAAAACUGAGGGCUCAACCCUCAGCCUGCCACUGAUACUGUUAGACUUGAGUAUGGAAGAGGAGAAUGGAAUUCCUAGUGUAGCGGUGAAAUGCGUAGAUAUUAGGAGGAACACCAGUGGCGAAGGGGAUUCUCUGGGCCAAGACUGACGCUGAGGCGCGAAAGCGUGGGGA
rnacentral:rRNA from 1 species